UUUUUUAAUUUUUAUUUUUUAUUUAAAAUAGGUAUCAUUGGAGUUUUGAUGUUUAAAGAAGUCUUCAACUACUCAAUUUUACUGUGCUAAUUAUUCACUAUUUUCUCUCAUUUCCAAGCCCAUCCUCUAUCCUCUGGUAUGUGAUGCUGAGGCUGGAGUCUCCCUUAGCUUCUUCCUUCUGGUUAGCAUCUGACAGUGGGAGGCACUGAGAGUCAGUGGAGACAGAAUGGAAGGAAGAAAUAAGUCACAAAGCAUCCCUUCAUGUUUUCCUGUGCCCAUCCGCUUUUCUCCAGCAACAAUAGACAGUUGGUUCCAGCUCUCAGCACACCAGCACCUGCCUCAGCUGAGUCCUUCCUCAAUAACCCAUCCACAAAGUACCCACUUGGAGAACAUAUGGAUUAAUAAACAAAUUGAAAAGUGAAUGGAUGCACUGACCUAACAGUUGCAGACAUAAAUGGAAGCAGCAUGAGGAAGGGCCAAGCAAUAGAACAAAGAAUCAGGUCAGAACAAUUUCAUUGGCUCAGCUCUCCCUCUUUCCCACAGAGCUCUCAGCUUUCUUUAGAGACUGGAACUCUGUUGUUUUGAAAUGGUCAUGGCAAAGAAAGUGAGUGGACUUCAAAAGAGAAAUGAAUGAUUUCAUAAACAUGGAUCUCUACCUCAACAUCCCUUUAUGGACAGUAAAAGUCCAAGGAGGCAAACCUAAAAUAAGUUUCCAGAGCCCAAGAGAAAAAUAAUCAUUGAACAUCUUUUUUUAAUCAAGUUUACAUUUCCAGUAAUGGGGAAGCUUAAACAAUUCCAUUUCUUGUUUAUGUAAAACCUCUUGCCACUGAAUUUGGGGAAAAAUGUUCAUCUUGUUGGCCUUCACAAAAAAGGUAUCACCCACUCACCAGUGCCCUGUUCUUUUAGAGUGUAAUUUAUUAAUGUCAGUACCAGUUACUCAAAGACCAUAUUGAGGCAAACUUCAUGUUUCCUUUGUGUCCUGCAGUUCCAUAAGGGAAGAGAUUCCAUUUGCCUAAUAUUUAAUUUUGUUCCAUGCCCAGAGGUUUUGGAAAGCAUACUUUAAAGUCCAACAUGGGGUCUGUCAGAGUGAUUUGGGCUGGUACAGUUUUCUACAGUGAGCCUGUCUGAGCUGGUGCCUUUUAGAGAUCUCUUUUAUUAU
rnacentral:lncRNA from 1 species